GUUAGUUGGGUUUUUUUAGUUGGUAAGAUGGUUGUUUGUUUGUUUGGCUGAUUGGUUAAUUGGUUGGUUGGUUGGUUGGUUGGUUGGUUGGUUGGUUGGUUUCACUGGUUAAUUGGUAUUCUGAGAUGGGCCUCACGAUCAUCUUCCUACCCAUCUUUCCAAGUGCUGAGAUUGCAGUCAUGAGCAACCAUGCCCAGCUCCCACUCACUCUAAAGACUCCAAAGUAUCCUAUUUUAGAAAUGUGCCAUGAUGUAUUUAGCUCUUCCCCUCUUGAUGGAUAUCCACCUUGUUUCCUGUUAUUUCCAAUUAGUGUUAUGAUCUUUAAUAAACCAUGAACAUAUGUGCCUUUCCUUAGGGCAAACAAGUUAGGAACAACUGGCAUAUUUUACAGACAGAUGCUGCUGCCAGUAUGAUUAACCAAGUGGGCAUACUCCUCAAGGCCACACCCAAGAGCACAAUACUGGCAGCACAGGACUCUGAUUUCUAACCCUGCCAGGCCAGUGCACACACCCGUCUCUGCUCUAUCCUAUUGAAAAUGCUGGCCUGGAAUUAAAUGCACAUCUUCAUUGGGAAGCCCAGGCAUGUGUGCAGACAGUUUCUAACAGGCAUUGGAGCUGCCGGCUUCUGCAAAGGCCACUCCAUUCCACCUGUUCACAGCAAGCCUGGCAGCCUAAUCACUGGGUCUCAUCACCAUUCAACCUCAGUCCCCCAAAAGCUCUCAGUAUGUUUGAAGCAGGAGGCCCCUCGGUUCUGGUUAACAGGGUCUGCCCAGGCAGGCAAACACAGACUAGGAUUUCACAACUGUAUGUUGUUCUUUUGGGGGCACAAGGUCCUGGAAAUUUUUCAAGAAAAAUCCCCCACCCCAUGUUCUUUUUUCUUUGCCCAUGUGCCACUUUGGCACAGGGGAAAUUGAAUUUCAAAACAAUAUUAAUUCUAAUUAAACCUAAGACUGUGCUGCUAGAAAACAAGGACCUGCAUUGUUUUGGCUUUUAACACCAUGUGCCCCACUUUAACAAUGAUGAAGGAGAGAGGGAGCUAUCAGCGCUUGUGCAAUAUUCAAACAAUACACAGCUCAAAAUGACUCAGGUUUGAGUUCAAGAUGGAAAAACUUCAACCUCUAGGGACAGAUGGUUCCCAUGGCCCCCACUCCCUGCUGCAUUUCUUGCUAACCAUCUGGCCUUCCCAGGAGCAAGAUAGCCUAAGAAGGGGGCUGUCCAGGGCCCACGACCUUCCAGAGUCAUAUUGCAGCCUUCCCUGGAUAUCCCCUGUCUCCUCACUGGCCUGAGCUGAGUCCUCCAUGUCCCCUAGACCUGGGACCACAAGGAAUUUAUUUCCCUCCCCUUCAUUUGCCAAGCAUAAUUUCAAAUCGCCCAAGGAACAGGAAUGAGAUCCAGGAGCUGUGGACUAUGUGUUCAGACCAUGAUGGGGUUCAGUGUCCCCUGGGAAACUGGGAUGGGGGUGUAGAAAUGCAGUCAAUUGAACCCUCUGGAAUUUUCACCCUCAUCUUUUAGCAAAAGCAACAGGUGAACCAUUUGAACCUAAACUUUAAGCAUAGCUCCAGUGAUUUCAAACUCCCUCCAGGAUUCAGUUUUCCUGUUUGUAUGAUGAGGCUAAGAACAGGGCUGGGAAGGGAGAGCUCUAGAAACUCUUUCCCAAACCCCAAAACUUGAGCCUGGAGAGAGAUGCAAGACUGGUUCUGACCAAGCUUGCACCAGGGUUCAUUGGUCCAGCAGUCCAUCUCUCCAUUCCUGGACCCCUUGGUGACUCCAGGCCAUGUCUAACUGAAAAAGGAUAAGAGACAGCCAUUCUAUUCCUGUUACCACAAUAGUCCUUGAAACCAGGAGACACCACAAAGAACAAGGAAGAUGUGCUCUUUACUGUGUUAGGAAGGAGAAGGGGCUAUAAGCUUCACACAUAUAUCAUCCAACUCUUUCUACAUCCUGAGAUGAGACUGUAAACCAUGCUCAGUUCAAAGGUCAAAACUGAGUCAUGGGAGAGAAAUGACUAGACCUAGGUCUUCUAGUAGGAUAAUGGUAGAACCGUGACUAGAGUAUGUGUUCCCUUGGCCUCCCCAACUUCUUCAACUCAACCCCUCUUUCACAGAAUUAUCAUCUUAAUGUCAUAACAGAAUCCAUAAAGUAUCUCCUCGUUUCUUGGCUCUAUAUUCCAAGGAAGUGUCUAAUGGUCCUCUUUAUCCCUCCCACUACUCUCAAUGUCUGUUGAACAGAUGAAUGGAUAGAAGGAUGGAUCAAUGGACUUAAGGGAAGACAGAUAACUGGAGAGACCUAUAUAGGUGGUGGACAAAUGGAAGGGUGGAUUGAUCGGUAGACUGAUAGGUGGGUGGACAGAUAUGUAGGAGAAUGGAUAGAUGGGAAAGUGGGUGGAUGAGUGGCUAUAUGGCUGGACAGAUGGGCAGACAGACAAGUGGACAAAUGUGUGGGUAGAUAAUUAACCCUGUGGGCUCUUAAUAAGGCACUGAAGAUGAGAGAAAGAGACUGACACAGAGUGGUAUAGAGAAGCACCGACUAGGACUGUCCCUCAAGAAGCUCUCAACCCAGUCAGAAAAUGAUUUCAUUGACACACAAAACAUCUCUAGUCCUGAAACACCACUUGUACAGACAGGUUGUGACAAAGGCCAAAUGGAAGGCUGGCCCUAUGUGCUAAGGGGAAAGAGACUGGGAGGCAGCCUUGAGGGGUGAUGCUAGAGCAGGCACUGAAGCAUAACAGGGAUUAGAUGAAUGGGGGACAAAGGCUAACCGCAAAGACCACGAUCUUCCUGGUGUAUCCCACAAAGGCGAGGGCAGGCUCUAUGUUUCUGUUCUACAAGUUCCUGAUACCCUACCUUCCCCUUUUUCAUAAAGGGUAGGUUCAGUGACCCCCCCCAUCCUGGAGCACACUGGCACUACCUAUAGACACCCUCACACUGUGAGGGCUCUAUGCAUCUCUUCCCAGCUGCAAACAGGAGGUGACCACAAACCCAGCCAUCCCCAUAAACACUUAGCCACACUAAAGCCUUAAGAGGCAAGGUCAUGGCUAGGGUCAAGGCCACUGCUAUGAGGCUUCCUGACCACUCCUUGGGUCCAUCCCCCUUUAGGGAAGGCACUAAAAGUGGCAAGAAUGGCAUGGACUCUGUGGUAAGUGAUCAAACCACUCCUUAGCUGGGUAACCCUGGAUAAGUCACUUCACCUCACUGAGCUUCAGCUCACAAACAGGAAGGUGGAAUUGUCCCUCAUAGAGACAUCUCAGGAUGAGAGCAAUGAAUGGAAAGUAGUUGGCCAACACAGAGCCUGACAUCUGUGAACAGGGACCACUGCUAUUACAGGCUAGCUUUUAACCUUGUUAUAUUAGGGAAUAAAACUAAGUCCUUCCUGCUCCUUGCUUGAACAGUUUAUAUGCUCUCCAAGUCUCCAUCCAGCUGGGAGACAAAGAGUGAGGACACGUGGCUUCUCCACCCACUGAUGCCUCCAGGAGACCCAUGUCCACUGGGACUAGGCACUAGUCUGGGUGUGGAGUGGGUAGGGCAGGCUCUGAGACUCUGUGACGCAUUCUUGGGCUCCCCGGGGUAAAAAUAGCUUCUCUUUGUUCACACACAUCCACUGGACUGGCAGCAUGCCCACUGGACAAGCAAACGAAAGAAAAGAAAGGAAGCAGAGUGCUGAGGCUGACCAGUCCUUGUUCCCCCAUAAUCCCAGCUGACAAUGCCCAUGACGGGACACUCAAAUGUCAUAUUCCUGUAAGUAAAACAAAACACACAAAGCCCAGGGUCGUCAUAGUAACAAUAACAAUAACCAAUUGUUUUGAGAUACUUUCACUGGCUUCCUGCUGCCCCUAUCCAAACUCAGGGACCCAUCACUCCUCUCUGACAACUCCUCUUCCCUUUUGUCAUGCUGGGGCUUCUCUAUCUGUUCUUGCUCUGGUCCAUUGGUCCCUCAGCCUUCAUUCUCAACUCCUCUCCACCCUUCUAACUCCCCCUACCCAACACAUCCCUCCUCCAGCAAGUUUUCUUCAAUCUCCCCUUGCCCAAAGUAGAGAAGUUCUCUCCUAUCCAGCCUUCUGUCGUACCCAGAGUCCAUGAACAUGUAACACCUCAACACAGGUGACCUUGUGGGACAGAGAUGUUGAUGUCUAUGUUGUCUCAUCUCAGUUUGAUGGUUCCGUGUUUCCUGAGGCAAUAGUUGCUCUCAGCCUCCUCUGUAUCAGUUCUUCUGCCUUUUCUGUUCCACAUCCCCUAGCCAUAGGAUCCAUCUGUCUACUCAUGAGCUAUGCAUCCAUGCAUCAGCAUAUUGAGUUAUCAUAUAAGUUUCUGCAGUGAAGAGAUACAGAAGUUGAUCAGACACUUUCAUUUACUUUUUCUGGGGAGACUUGAAGAAACAUCUCUUUGCUCCAAAUGGGGCAUCAGUGAUGGACUUAGUCCACCCACGUCCAACCUGAUAAACCAAUGAGUUUAUGAGACUUGUUUGUA
ensembl:lncRNA